rnacentral:rRNA from 1 species
CGAAGGGUGCAAGCGUUACUCGGAAUUACUGGGCGUAAAGCGUGCGUAGGUGGUUUGUUAAGUCUGAUGUGAAAGCCCUGGGCUCAACCUGGGAAUUGCAUUGGAUACUGGCAGGCUAGAGUGCGGUAGAGGAUGGCGGAAUUCCUGGUGUAGCAGUGAAAUGCGUAGAGAUCAGGAGGAACAUCCGUGGCGAAGGCGGCCAUCUGGACCAGCACUGACACUGAGGCACGAAAGCGUGGGAGCAAACAGGAUU